UAAAAAAAGUAGGUAAGGGAAAAACAUAUCCACAAGGAAAAAGACCGGCCCCCACGGCUUGUUGCAUUGCGCCAAUGUGUUCUCCGCCUGUCAGACCUGUGCUUUUAUGUACCGAUGGCAAUUACUGUGCCGCAUCUGUUGAUUUGCCUUCGCAGUGAGCAGUUAAUUAGCAGUGGAAUAGAAAACCGGAAUCCGAACGCUUCCUUAAUACAAAGCAUUGCGGCGGCCUUCAGCGGCGUUGAUGAAACGUGGCUCUACCCUUUGCUCUGAAUGUUGACGUGGUGAAAUUCAUCCAACUGCGGGUUAAUGGUGGAAAUAAAUAAUGUGCAUAAGCUAGCCAAAUUUCCUGUUAACUAGUAGUGGCAUGAACGGAUGGAUAAGCCAGACUCCCACAACAUCUACAAGCUAACUAGCGAAGCCGAUGCCAAGGCGGCGGGAUUGC
rnacentral:ncRNA from 1 species